rnacentral:lncRNA from 1 species
UUUUCUCAGCAGAGCAGAACUCACUUCACAUCCUGUUCUCCUCCACCGGCCGGUUCUGAGGGUUACGGGGCGACGCAGUCAGAAGCAUUCACAGCGCAGAGCUCAAGAUAAAUGUACGUCCAUGACUUCUGUGUAUCAGAACCAUCCAGUCGUGCAGCUCAGCAUUCAGUUUUGUGAUUCAGUCAAAUGGUUGUUCCAGGCCCUCCAGCACUGGGUUAAGGUCAGUGAAAGAGCGUGGGCUGGGUUAACACACCAAAUUCACUUAGCACUUAACAUCACCACCAAACAUGAUAUUGAUCUGACCCCAAAGGGCUUUUCCUUUUCCUGCCUUAAGCCAAACCAAACUUCCCCCAUAACAACCGUGUACAUGUGGUGGAGAAAUCUGGACAAGGACUUAAAAUCAUUCCGUCAAACUGAGACGUAUUUCUGUUUAAAGGCACUCUGAAAGUAAAAUGAUCUAUGGAGCAGCUCAUGUUUGUCAGGGAUAAUUUGCUCAAGGGGGUCAGGGAGCGCUGGACCUAAUGAGCAUCAUCCCUGAGCAGCGCUCAGAGCGUGAAAACAGCCCCACUUCUUUCCUCUUUCUUAGUCACCUGCGUUCACCUCCUCUCCGGCAAACGCGCGGCCUCUCCCGUUUGAAGCGCCUGCCAGACCAGGCCGUAAAGUGGAAGCGAGGGGAAGGGGGCUGGAGGAAGCCGAGUCCAGCUGAGUGCACACAGCCAGCUGCGGAUUUCGCCGGCCGCCAGCUGCUCCAAACAUGGGCCGGGCCUCUCCGCCAGCCAAGUGGUCAGCAGGCCCGUGAUGUCACAGCGCGGCAUGUUCCCGACCCGGCGCUGGCCCGCGCCGGCAUUCCACCGCCUGCUAAUGCCACAUGACCCCGGCGGCGAGGCCGCGGGGAUCUGGACCUGGAACACGGCGGCCCGUCUCACGCCGUGACAGCACCCGGUGUUCUCUGCCCCCGUCUACCCGGUCAGGUGACAGCGUGUGAAGAGGCCCGGUUCAGUGGGGUCACGCCUGGCCCUGUCCUGGACUGAUUGAUUUAAAAAAAAAAAAAAAAAAAAAAUCAUGCAUCAGAUGCAUCGGCCUUAUUUUAAACUUAGCAUAAACAGAAAACUUCUCCAUUCAAACCAAUGCAGCACAAAAAAGGCUGAGCUACAAGCUAGGCUAACAAGCUACAAACAGCCUUUAUGCAUUAUGUCACAUAGGGAGCUGUAACAAUAACAGUUACCAAUAAAAUGUUCUGAACACUCA